rnacentral:misc_RNA from 1 species
AACGCACAUUGCGCUCCUCGGCAUUCCGGGGAGCAUGCCUGUUCGAGCGUCAUUGCAUCUCUCAAGCGUAGCUUGGUAUUGAAUCUACGUCCUUGCGGACGGAUUCGAAAAAGAGUGGCGGUCGAGUAUGACUUCAAGCGUAGUAAAAUUUCAUCGCUUUGGAAUGUCUUGCUAGUCUUGCCAAUAACCAACAUAUAUACCAAUGAUUGACCUCGGAUCAGGUAGGGAUACCCGCUGAACUUAA